rnacentral:rRNA from 1 species
ACUCCUACGGGAGGCAGCAGUGGGGAAUAUUGCACAAUGGGCGCAAGCCUGAUGCAGCCAUGCCGCGUGUAUGAAGAAGGCCUUCGGGUUGUAAAGUACUUUCAGCAGUGAGGAAGGCGGGUACGUUAAUAGCGUGCUUGUUUGACGUUAGCUGCAGAAGAAGCACCGGCUAACUCCGUGCCAGCAGCCGCGGUAAUACGGAGGGUGCGAGCGUUAAUCGGAAUUACUGGGCGUAAAGCGCAUGCAGGUGGUUUGUUAAGUCAGAUGUGAAAGCCCGGGGCUCAACCUCGGAAUUGCAUUUGAAACUGGCAGACUAGAGUACUGUAGAGGGGGGUAGAAUUUCAGGUGUAGCGGUGAAAUGCGUAGAGAUCUGAAGGAAUACCAGUGGCGAAGGCGGCCCCCUGGACAGAUACUGACACUCAGAUGCGAAAGCGUGGGGAGCAAACAGGAUUAGAUACCCUGGUAGGAUAGCG